rnacentral:rRNA from 1 species
GACGAACGCUGGCGGCGUGCUUAACACAUGCAAGUCGAACGGAAAGGCCCUGCUUUUGUGGAGUGCUCGAGUGGCGAACGGGUGAGUAACACGGGAGUAACCUGCCCUUGACUUUGGGAUAACUUCAGGAAACUGGGGCUAAUACCGGAUAGGAGCUCCUGCUGCAGGGUGGGGGUUGGAAAGUUUCGGCGGUUGGGGAUGGACUCGCGGCUUAUCAGCUUGUUGGUGGGGUAGUGGCUUACCAAGGCUUUGACGGGUAGCCGGCCUGAGAGGGUGACCGGCCACAUUGGUACUGAGAUACGGCCCAGACUCCUACGGGAGGCAGCAGUGGGGAAUAUUGCACAAUGGGCGGAAGCCUGAUGCAGCAACGCCGCGUGCGGGAUGACGGCCUUCGGGUUGUAAACCGCUUUCGCCUGUGACGAAGCGUGAGUGACGGUAAUGGGUAAAGAAGCACCGGCUAACUACGU